rnacentral:piRNA from 1 species
CAGAGAAAGACUAUAAGGGGGAAGGUAG